UACGUAGGGCGCAAGCGUUGUCCGGAAUUAUUGGGCGUAAAGAGCUCGUAGGCGGCUUGUCACGUCGGGUGUGAAAGCCCGGGGCUUAACCCCGGGUCUGCAUUCGAUACGGGCUAGCUAGAGUGUGGUAGGGGAGAUCGGAAUUCCUGGUGUAGCGGUGAAAUGCGCAGAUAUCAGGAGGAACACCGGUGGCGAGGGCGGAUCUCUGGGCCAUUACUGACGCUGAGGAGCGAAAGCGUGGGGAGCGAACAGG
rnacentral:rRNA from 1 species